rnacentral:rRNA from 1 species
UACGUAGGGUGCGAGCGUUGUCCGGAAUUAUUGGGCGUAAAGAGCUCGUAGGCGGUGUGUCGCGUCGGCCGUGAAAACCUGGGGCUUAACUCUGGGCGUGCGGUCGAUACGGGCAUCACUAGAGUUCGGCAGGGGAGACUGGAAGUUCCUGGUGUAGCGGUGAAAUGCGCAGAUAUCAGGAGGAACACCGGUGGCGAAGGCGGGUCUCUGGGCCGAUAUUGACGCUGGAGGAGCGAAAGCGUCGGGGAGCAAACAGG